AGAGUUUGAUCAUGGCUCAGGACUAACGCUGGCGGCGUUUCUUAGACAUGCAAGCCGAACGGAAAUUGGUUUGUAGUUGUUAGUGAUUAGUUUGUAGUUUUCUAUAGACUAUGAACUUUUAACUAUGAACUGAUUUUAGUGGCGAACGGGUGAGUAACACGUGAGUAAUCUGCCAUCAAGAAAAGAAUAACCUGUUGAAAAAUGGGCUAAUACUUUAUGAUGUCUCAAUUUGAGAUGGUUGAGAUCAAAGGGUGGCCUCUGCUUGCAAGCUAUCGCUUGAUGAUGAGCUCGCGUCCUAUCAGCCAGUUGGUGAGGUAAUGGCUUACCAAAGCGAAGACGGGUAGCCGGCCUGAGAGGGCGAGCGGUCACACUGGAACUGAGAUACGGUCCAGACUCCUACGGGGGGCAGCAGUCUAGAAAAUUGCGCAAUGGGUGAAAGCCUGACGCAGUGACGCCGCGUGGAGGAUGAAGGCUUUCGAGUUGUAAACUCCUGUUAGAGAAGACGAAGGUUUUGAAUAUGAAUAAUAUUCAGGACUGACGGUAUUUUCAGAGGAAGCUCCGGCUAACUCCGUGCCAGCAGCCGCGGUAAAACGGAGGGAGCGAGCGUUGUCCGAAAUUACUGGGCGUAAAGGGGAUGUAGGUGUCCCGAUAAGUUGAAUGUGAAAUCCCUCUGCUUAACAGAGGAACUGCAUUCAAAACUAUUGGGAUUGAGCACGGGAGAGGAAAGUGGAACUCUCGGUGGAGCGGUGGAAUGCGUAGAUAUCGAGAGGAAUGCCAGUAGCGAAAGGCGUCUUUCUGGUCCGUUGCUGACACUGAGGUCCGAAAGCUGGGGGAGCGAACAGGAUUAGAUACCCUGGUAGUCCCAGCCGUAAAC
rnacentral:rRNA from 1 species